UCAUUUGUCAUUGUUUAGCCUUUUAGGUUAAGAUCUAAAAUCUCAUUUCCCCCAAAAUCAUAUUCCCUCUUUUCAGCAAAUCCGAUAUCCUUCAGACACACUUCCCCGUGAAGUUUGAUUAGCGAUUUCUCUUCUCCCUUUCCCCGUGCCCUAGUAAAUCAACUCAAUGCAAAGAGAAUUUGAAGAAGAGCACAAUUUUUUGCUAUGUACCUCAAGGAAUGCAGUUAUUGAAGCGGUUGGUCCUUAAGAUUGUGAGGAAAUGGGUUCGAGUGACGAUUAUCCAGAAUCAUGGCUUUCAACCACUGUUGCAGAGCAAAUGGGAUCUUUACCAUCAAGAUGAAGUUGUUGCUUAUGAAAAUCAAAUUAUGGGAUAAUGUUAUUAAACAAUCGCAAAUGAGGUCGAUCAAGAAUGUGUUUGAAGGCACUAUAUGUUUUGCUUAUUUAUAGUCAUAUCAUAUGAUGUAAAAUAAAAUAUUGUGUAGGAGUAUAUAUUUAAUUGACUUGUUAGUGACUGAACAAUUUAUGAUAUUGGAGUUGAAAAGUAUUUUUUGUCCUAUCUGUAAUGAUAUUGAGUUUAUGAAA